CACCGUCCACGGGUUGUGAUGGUGCGCCGCCGACAGAGCCGCUUUGCUGCUGUCCAGCCAGGGCAGGCCGGGGCUGUGGAGCAAGUGAGGCCGGCACAUUUGGCUCCCGGGAAGUUGCGGAGAGAGGUUCCUGCCACACACCUGGGAUCACCACCUGUAAGGAAGGAAGGAACGGUGUUUGUUGUUGUUUUGCUUCUCCUGACACUUCCCGGGAUCCAGGCCACAGAACAGAAUAGAUGAUGGCACUUCAGUUGGCUGAGCAUCCUGAGGAAUUGUGAUCGAUUUGUAAAGCCAGGUAGUGUAAGCAUGGACAGGAGAGCAUCGUUUGUGUGUGUCAUUGUUGAUUGUGAAGUAUCCCUAUUUAUAAUGUGCAAGCAGUGUAGGUGAAACAGGAAGACGAAUAAGAAAGUUUCCCAAAGUUUCAUGUGAUAACAUACCUAUUUAUUUUGCUAACAAAAAAGUGCAAGCUUUAGAGCUGUGCAGA